rnacentral:rRNA from 1 species
AGUCGAACGCGAAAGUCUUCGGAUGAGUAGAGUGGCGCACGGGUGAGUAUCACGUGGGUAAUCUGCCUAGAGAUGGGGAAUAACCCCUCGAAAGAGGGGCUAAUACCGCAUAAGACCACAGCUACUACGGUAGCAGAGGUUAAAAGUGAUCACUGUUUACAAAUUAUUGUCUCUAGAUGAGCCUGCGCACUAUUAGCUAGUUGGUGGGGUAAUGGCCUACCAAGGCUACGAUAGUUAGCUGGUCUGAGAGGAUGAUCAGCCACACUGGAACUGAGACACGGUCCAGACUCCUACGGGAGGCAGCAGUAGGGAAUAUUGCUCAAUGGGGGAAACCCUGAAGCAGCAACGCCGCGUGAGUGAUGAAGGCCUUCGGGUCGUAAAGCUCUGUUGUACGGGGCGAACGAGGGUAUGGCUAAUAUCCAUACCCAGUGACAGUACCGUAUAAGAAAGGACCGGCUAACUUCGUGCCAGCAGCCGCGGUAAGACGGGGGGUCCAAGCGUUGUUCGGAAUCAUUGGGCGUAAAGCGUGUGCAGGUGGUUUUGUAAGUUGGAUGUGAAAGCCCCGGGCUUAACUCGGGAAGUGCAUUCAAAACUGCAAAACUUGAGUAUGGAAGAGGGUCGUGGAAUUCCUGGUGUAGUGGUGAAAUACGUAGAUAUCAGGAGGAACACCGGUGGCGAAGGCGGCGACCUGGUCCUAUACUGACACUCAUACACGAAAGCGUGGGGAUCAAACAGGAUUAGAUACCCUGGUAGUCCACGCCGUA